GGGGAUGACGGUUUCCGGUCAACAGAAAGGAAGCAUCGAGGCAGGCGAGUGGCAGAGGUUAAGGCCUGGCUUCUGCUCCCGGCGCGUCCGGAUUCAAUUCCGCCUGCCGACCUCUCGGGGUGUUUGAGAGGUGAUGAAAUGGGAGGUGGCCCCCCAUCUUGUGGACGGUGUAGGACGUGAUAAAAUCAACUUGCGAGCUGACCAGGAACUAAGUUGACGCGCCGUUGAUCCGCUAGAUUUGGUUGGAUGCCGGUGGUGAGUUGCCAAACUCAAAGUGUACAUUCUGAAGCCGGAUGGGGUGAAUGGAUUAGGGUGCCCCUCUAGCAGGGGAGAGCAGGGAACUGCCUCGGGAAGGAGGCCACUGGUGAAGCUUAACCACCCUGUAACAACAUCAACAGAAAGGAAGCAUCGAUGUGCAGAUGUCGGGAUAUGUGCACAACGAACGAGGGGGAAAAGAAGGCAAGGAGCAGGCUGUCAGCUUAUGGCUUAGAGCCGCAACCAGUGAGAUGACAGAAAAUGACCACAGGGCUGCUGAGAGGCUUUCAUCCGCCAAGAAAAGCGCGGCUGGCAACGGUCGUCACCUCCUGACAGGAUGCAAGGCGCUACAUAGGGAAACCGCCUCCCGUGGCUGUGCGGCCCCUGGGGAACAGUGCGCCUACUGCACUACCAACAGGAGGAGGAGUAGCAGCAGCAAUAACAACAACUACUACUACUGCUACUAAUGCUGUCACUACUGCUACUAAUGCUACUACUACUAGUAGAACUACUGCUACUGCUACUACUGCUACUGCUACUACUGCUACUGCUACUACUGCUACUACUGCUACUACUAUUACUACUACUGCUGCUACUACUAUUACUGCUACUGCUACCAGUGUUUAUUCUAAGUAAUAAUUCCUUAUAAGGAAUAAAGAGGCCAUUUUGGCCUUUGGAAAAAGGGAAUGAAUUGAGGCCGAUCCGUACAUUUUCAUUCCUCCAGCCA
rnacentral:lncRNA from 1 species